UAGAUGAAUGCUCGCAGGUUUGGGCGCUUAGCUGUUAACUAAGAUUUUGGGGGAUCAAGGCCCCCUCAUCUAG
rnacentral:tRNA from 1 species